ensembl:misc_RNA Metazoa_SRP Metazoan signal recognition particle RNA
GCUGGGCGUGUUGGCACACGCCUGUAAUCCCAGCUACUCGGGAGGCUGAGACAGGAGAAUCACUUGAGCCCAGAAGGUGGAGGUUGCAGUGAGCUGAGAUUGUGCCACUGCACUCCAGCCUGGGCAACAGAGCAAGACUCUGUCUUCC